UCAGGAUGAACGCUGGCGGCGUGCCUAAUACAUGCAAGUCGAGCGAACGGACGAGAAGCUUGCUUCUCUGAUGUUAGCGGCGGACGGGUGAGUAACACGUGGAUAACCUACCUAUAAGACUGGGAUAACUUCGGGAAACCGGAGCUAAUACCGGAUAAUAUUUUGAACCGCAUGGUUCAAAAGUGAAAGACGGUCUUGCUGUCACUUAUAGAUGGAUCCGCGCUGCAUUAGCUAGUUGGUAAGGUAACGGCUUACCAAGGCAACGAUGCAUAGCCGACCUGAGAGGGUGAUCGGCCACACUGGAACUGAGACACGGUCCAGACUCCUACGGGAGGCAGCAGUAGGGAAUCUUCCGCAAUGGGCGAAAGCCUGACGGAGCAACGCCGCGUGAGUGAUGAAGGUCUUCGGAUCGUAAAACUCUGUUAUUAGGGAAGAACAUAUGUGUAAGUAACUGUGCACAUCUGACGGUACCUAAUCAGAAAGCCACGGCU
rnacentral:rRNA from 1 species